AUUUGACAUUAUGGAUCAAAGAAAUCAUCCUUCCCUAUCAUCGAGCGGGCUCACCGUACUUUGAAGCAGCAAUUAGAUCGGCGUAGGGAGGGGGAAUUAGGG